CGGAUCCGCGGGCGCUAAGUUAACAUUAUUGUUAGCUGUGAUGCUCAUAUGAGUCUGUAGCCUAUCUGAUUUAAAAUGGGAUAGCAAUUUUGGCAGAAUAUGUUAUGCGUCAACUUUUAUCGGCUGGAUUCUAGCAUCUAACGUUA